UGGGGAAUUUUGGACAAUGGGCGAAAGCCUGAUCCAGCAAUGCCGCGUGUGUGAAGAAGGCCUUCGGGUUGUAAAGCACUUUUGUCCGGAAAGAAAUCCUUGGCUCUAAUACAGUCGGGGGAUGACGGUACCGGAAGAAUAAGCACCGGCUAACUACGUGCCAGCAGCCGCGGUAAUACGUAGGGUGCAAGCGUUAAUCGGAAUUACUGGGCGUAAAGCGUGCGCAGGCGGUUUGCUAAGACCGAUGUGAAAUCCCCGGGCUCAACCUGGGAACUGCAUUGGUGACUGGCAGGCUAGAGUAUGGCAGAGGGGGGUAGAAUUCCACGUGUAGCAGUGAAAUGCGUAGAGAUGUGGAGGAAUACCGAUGGCGAAGGCAGCCCCCUGGGCCAAUACUGACGCUCAUGCACGAAAAGCGUGGGGGAGCAAAACAGGAUUUAGAUACCCCUGGGUAGUCCACGCCCUAAACGAUGUCAACUAGUUGUUGGGGAUUCAUUUCCUUAGUAA
rnacentral:rRNA from 1 species